CCUACGGGAGGCUGCAGUGAGGAAUAUUGGUCAAUGGCCGGAAGGCUGAACCAGCCAUGCCGCGUGAAGGUCAGUGCCCUAUGGGCGUUAAACUUCUUUUGUGCGGGAGCAAUAAUGGUCACGUGUGGCCAGACGAGAGUACCGUACGAAUAAGCAUCGGCUAACUCCGUGCCAGCAGCCGCGGUAAUUCGGGGGAUGCAAGCGUUUUCCGGAUUUAUUGGGUUUAAAGGGUGCCUAGGCUGUGAGGUAAGUCAGCGGGGAAAUGCCCCCGCUCAACGGGGUGAAGUGCCAUUGAUACUGCCUUGCUGGAAUGCGGAUGCCGUGGGAGGAAUGUGUGGUGUAGCGGUGAAAUGCAUAGAUAUCACACAGAACACCGAUUGCGAAGGCAUCUCACGAAUCCGCGAUUGACGCUGAUGCACGAAAGCGUGGGUAUCAAACAGGAUUAGAUACCCCAGUAGUC
rnacentral:rRNA from 1 species